rnacentral:misc_RNA from 1 species
AUAACUUAAGAGUCCAUGUUUCCAUUAUAUUAUAAUAAAUAAAGUUCCCAUAUAAACAAGACCCACCAAAAUGAAAGACAAGCUUUCAGUUAAGCCUUCAUAUUCAGCAUCUAAGCUGAUAGUAAUCUCUAAUAUAUUACAAAAUUACAUAGAGGCAAGCCAAAAUAAAGAGUAUUGCAAAUCAAGUAAUGUACCUGAACCUAGAAAUAUAAAUUAAGAAUAUAAGUGAUCUCAGCAUUUGGAUAAUCAUGGGAUGUCAAAGUGUAACCAGAUUCUAGCAUGCCACAAUAGGAAUAAUAUUAACAUCUUUCUUUACAGAUGGUCAUUUACAUUCCUAUCUAUCAAGUUUUUCAUUCAACAACUAUAAUACAAGGAAUUCAAGGAUAAGAUGACACUAUCUAGCCAACUUUUGCAAACCAGGGACUUUUAAAUUGAAACUGUAUUUUCGAGAUCCAAAACCUCCAAUUUUGUAGCCAGUCUCACAUGUACAUAGGUGCUAUCAAUCAAGAAUAUUUA